rnacentral:rRNA from 1 species
GCACGCCUACGGGACGCAGCAGUGGGGAAUAUUGGGCAAUGGGCGCAAGCCUUACCCAGCAAUACCGCGUGAGUGAAGAAGGUCUUCGGAUUGUAAAGCUCUUUGAUCAGGGACGAACAGAUGACGGUACCUGAAGAACGAGCCCCGGCUAACUACGUGCCGGCAGCCGCGGUAAAACGUAGGGGGCGAGCGUUGUCCGGAAUGACUGGGCGUAAAGGGUGCGUAGGCGGCAUAAUAAGUUAGAAGUGAAAUACCCAGAGCUUAACUCGGGUG